UACGGGGGGUGCGAGCGUUGUCCGGAAUCACUGGGCGUAAAGGGCGCGUAGGUGGUUUGAUAAGGGUGUGGUGAAAGUCCGGAGCUCAACUCCGGAUCUGCCGUGCCGACUGUCAAACUCGAGGGCUGUAGAGGCAGACGGAAUUCCGGGUGUAGCGGUGGAAUGCGUAGAGAUCCGGAGGAAGACCGGUGGCGAAGGCGGUCUGCUGGGCAG
rnacentral:rRNA from 1 species